AGAGACUGCAUCUGCAAUUAUUUCCGACAUUACAUCUAAUAAUACGACUACCACCCAUCAGCUUUCAGGGCUUCUAUCCCGGCCAGAUUUCAAGGCCUCCCCUUUCAAUAAUCUAGUUCCUCUUCCAUCAUACAAGGAACCCAGGGGUAUGGGCUGGAUGAUGAGAGGGGAACCGGUUCCCCUUGCUGCGUCGAAUCAACAUUGGCUGCAACUGAUGCAAUCGAAAGCAAAUUCCGCUGCCUUCUGACAGCCUUACGAAGGCGAGCGGAGUUUGGACACUUACUCGAAUUUCGGUGGUGGGG